AGGUCAAAUUGGAGCUGCAGCUGCAGGCCUACACCACAGCCAUAGCAACACCAGAUCCAAGCCACAUCUGCGACCUACAACACAGUUUGCAGCAAUGCUGGAUACUUAGCCCACUGAGUGAAGCCAGGGAUCUAACCAUCAUCAUCACGACACUAUGUUGGGUUCUUAAACUGCUGAGCCACAAUGCACAUUCCAGUAAUGCCUUUUUCGAGGCAGCCAUGGGUUCCAGGUGGUGCU
rnacentral:lncRNA from 1 species